ACCUUAUUUCUCUUAUGUAUAGAAUGGUUAUUGGUUAUUUUGCAUCGAUAGCAGUUUUGCAGCUCAGAUCCAGACACCUGGUAAAGUUAUGCUCCUUUCUCCCACAGCAACUGAGAGAUAGGCUGUCUCUCUUGGUGUUUACCUUUCAAAGAGAUGGCUCCUAGGUCCUUGAGAAAGACAUGCCUGGCUCAUAAAGCUAAGAGGCUUAUUUAGGUUCUAAAAACAAUUUAUGUACAUAUAUUUCAAAGAGACAGAGAAAGAACUUACAAGUUUUCUAAAGUAAAUGCUCUAAGAAAAGGGAAGGGAGAAAAGUCUCUUCCCUUAUUUUCAACAUGGAGAAUUUAGCCUCUUGUUUUUAAUUUGUGUUUACCUUUACAGCCCCUAAGCGGGAAACGAACAGCAAGUUCCAAAGUGAGGGUCACCAUCGUCUAGCUAGCUGGUCUUUCCUCUUGCACACCAAGAGGCCCUCGGCAUGUGAUUUAGGCUAGAGUGAGGGUGGACGGCCAGGGUAAGGCAGGGCUGCGCAGGGUGGCGGCAAGGGUGGUUUCAGUCUUUAUGGGGCUCUUUGUGGCUAAUAAAGUGGGGGAGGUUUGGGAGAUGUGGGGCUAAGACUAAACUGGAUAGUCAAAUUGGGUUUCUGAAAAUUCAGUAUUAACAUUUCUAUAGUCAGAGAGCCAACCUAAUGGGACUCAGACAACCCCUUCUUUCCAUUUGAAACCCACAUGUCACAGGUUGAAACCCCUCAGCGAGAGGGAUUUGGACCAAGCUGAUGCUUGACAUAGGUGCUCAGUGGGUAAUAUUCCUAGAUCCAUAUGGGAAGACAGUGCUCACUGCCCAGUUGGAACCAGAGAGCCUGGAUCCCACCAGCCCAGAGUCUUUCACUGAAGGCCACCAGCAUGCACUGUGCCUGGCUCUGUCCUGGGUCAGCAGCCUCAGUCUCUCCUCUCAGGCCAUCUGCUUUCCUCAUGAUUCUGAAUGUCACAGGUGCUGUGGGCCCAGCUGGAAUCUGGGAGUGGCAGGAGGAGGAAAGCCUACUUUUAGGUUCUAAUCCUCUCUUUCUGUGUUCUCUUCCUCUGCUCUCAGGCAACACCUGUGCUUCCUUCUAAAAAAGACACACCUAUCUUUUAAGUCGUUUUUCCCAGCUCCUGCUCCUUUCACAUGGGUUUUUAAAAAUUCUUUCUCCUCAGAGAUGAGAAAGAGAAAGACAGGGACACACACGCACCCACACAGAAUGGGAGAGUGAGAGCGAGAGAGACAGACUCAGUCAAUGGCUUUCGUGGGGAUCCAGGACAAUCUUAUAUUUUUCUCAUAUUUCAUUGAAGAUCUACAUCAGAUGCACCUGGGCAGGUGUAGCGGAGGAAGAAAUUUUCCUCUGCCUUUCUGGGUUCUUCUGGCUGGCCUAAGAACUAAAUUGACAAGUCACAGAUUAACAGGAGAGAAUCCAAUUUAAUUUCAUAUGUAUGGGGGUUCCACAAGAAUAUAGGGGGGCCCCCAAGGACAAAUUAGGCAACUGAGGCUUAUAUGCCAUCUUGAGCUAAAGAGAAGGGGAUAGUGGUUUGGGACGCCAAAAGGAAAGAAGGCAAUUCACACAGAGAUGGAAAUUUUUGGUAAACAAACGUUUGAUGGGCCGAGCAGAGACAACGGGACACAGGGCGUACUGAUUUCUAGGUCCUGCCAAGUUUCCCCCACCACACCCAGCCCAUAUUCUCUGUAAAUAUCUCUGGUGAUAGCUCUAUUCCAGCAACAGGCCCCUUAUCUAAAUUCUUUUAGGCAGUCAAGGGGGAAGUAACAAGGAAAACUUCCUGAGUCUUCUCUUAGGAAUCAGCCUAAAUUAAUCCUCAUGCCAAAGAGACACAUUUUGAGGCGGCAGAUUUUGCUACCCUACAGUCUUCCCUUUGAAACUUCUCCAAGAAGUUGCACAGUUCACAAGCUGAGUUGGUAGAUUGUUCCAUCUCAUUGAACCAGUCUCUUGGUCCUGACAACAGGUCAGUUUAGUUAAACUCAUUUCAGGAGGCAGUGAAUCAGAUUAGCUCUCAAAGUUAGGCCUAGAAGGUGCAAGCAAUUAAAUAAUUAAUAAGAGCCAUUUCUAUGGAAACAAGAAAAAAAGUUUUAAUGGUUGGAGCAAAUUAUAAACCAGUUUCUGAUCUUAGGGGCAGCCAGUCAUGAAGAUUUCUAGAUGUCAGGGUCGAAACAUCUUUUGCAGUUUGAAAUGUCUCUGAUGAUGUCACUGGGUAUUCAGGUAAACUUUCUGAGUGGCUUACACAGCAUCAGGCAUGAAGAUUGUCUAAGCACGGGCUAUGGUGGUGCUCCCUCUUAAGUUUCUGUCAAGUUGUCUAGCUUUAGUUUGCAGGGCCUCAGGAAAAGGGCAGCUUUAGUUCUCAAUGAUUCCAAGUCAAACGUGGGAGAAAAAUUAGAAAUGUUAGUUUGGAGAGUUGUAGCCAAAUAUUUGAGGAAACUGGAAGAAUUUAGGAUUCAGUUCAGUUUACAGGUGAAAAACAAAACCUUAAAGACGAUGAACAGAAUUAGACUCUACUAUCCACAAGUGUAUAUUAUAGUUUCUACUGAAAUAAUUUUUUGUCUCUAAAACACUCUCAUUUUUAUCAAAGAUAGCCAAAUUAAGACUAAUUUAUUUGCAAAGUAAGUCUAGUUUUAAUAAGCUUGGCCUGAUGAUUUACAUAAAUGCAUCAAGAAUAGCAAUUGAUCACAUGGGCUCUUUUAAAUCUGCUUUGCUGGAACUUUUCAUAAGGAAUCUCCAGAUUGAGCUUUUAACAGCCUCUUGAGGCUAAGAAGCCAAGACAAUAUUUACCGUCAAACUUUGCUGUAAUACCUUUAGAUUUGGAUUAAUUCCUCUCUUCUUCAGGUCCCCCAAUAUCCUGAGGUUUCUGUGCCUGCCAGGAAGUGACCUUCCUUACUCACCUGGUCUUCCUUUUAAAGAUGUUCAGAGGAGACUCCAAAGGGAAUUCCAGGACCAAUCCGCUCUGCCUGGGGAAGUGCAUGAGGCUUCCCCCGAGUCUGCGCAUGCUUGGACCCCUGUGCUACCCAGUGAUGUCAUCUACACCUUGUCCAGGAGCCAAAGACACAGCCCUGACAACGUGAGUGGUACGACUCCUCAGGCAGUGGCUCUCAACCUGGCAGGCAACACAUUAGAACCACCAGGGAGCUUAAAAAGUAUGGACUGGCCGCACGCCACCAUCUCAAGAUCUAACUGGUGAAGAGUGGGCCCGGCAUCAGUAUUUGUUAAAAGCGUCUCAUGUGUGGCCAGAGUUGAGAACCACUGGAAUAGCUCUUCUCCAAUAUCGUCAACAUCAGAAUCAUCUGGGGGGCUGGCUAAACACCAGCUGUUCGGCCCUCCCCUAGUUUCUGAGUCAGUGGUCUGAGGUGGGGGCUCAGAAUCUGCAUUUCUAACGUGCUCCCAAGACCUGCUGCUGCUGUUGGUCUGGGCAAGGCUUUGAGAACUGCUGCCCUAGGGGCUCGCUCACUACCGCCCUGAUUCUCCCCGAACCAGAGGGUUUUCUGCUUCCUGCCCCCACGGUCCUGGCUCUUCCCUCUACACUGGUGUGCUCUUCGCUGAGCUCUGGGCUAUCCCUAACAGGGUGUAGAAAAAAAUUGUUUUUAUCUACUUUUUUAAGCCCAAAAGAGAUUGGAACACUUCAAAAGGCAUUCUAUCUGAGGGGGAAAUGGAUCCUCCAAAUGGGGAACUGAACACAUUGAAGUGGACACAUUUGGAGGCAGCUGCGGUUGGGCUCUGGAUUGGUUGGUUUUAUUUGAGAGGCAUGCUUGUGGGUGAGUCGUUUGCUGUCUCUGGGAAUUGUCUAGCCCUGGCUGGGGGG